CUUGGAUCAGUCGCUUUGGAGGAAGCCAGCUGCCAUGUUUUGAGGACACUAAGGCACUUUACGGAGAGGCCCACGUGUAAAUCCUUCUCCUCCCAGAAGCAUUUAAAAAUCCACAAACCAUGGCUAACUUCCUGUGAAAUGGCUUAGUGGGCAAAAAUUCAGAAUAAGGGGAGUGUGAGUCCAUGUCUCCUUUCCAGAGAUGAAGAAGUUUCUCUUUUCUGUGCAUGAAGAAGACAAUGGGAUAUGGAUGACACUAAACCUUUGAAAGUUCCUGCUAACCUCCAGGUGGAAGGAAAGGGCCCACGGUGAUCAAUAAAUGUGUUUGCUAUUUUUUGGGUGAAAGGAAGAGAGCCUGCACCUCUGUUGGGAACUAGCUGGGCGCAGUGGCUCAUGCCUGUAAUCCCAGUACUUUGGGAGGCCGAGGUGGGCGGAUGACCUGAGGUCAGGAGUUCGAGACCAGCCUGGACAACA
rnacentral:lncRNA from 1 species